AAUAAUUAGGGGGUGCACACAAAUAAGUAGGGUGCUGAGUUUCUCUCCUCAAUAUGCAUUAAUUUUCUUAUUAACAAUGAGCUUAAUGGACUAUUUUAGCAUCAAAUUGAUUUAUGUUGCAGGAGUCUUAUGUGUUGUUGGUCAUCCUUAGAUUUUCCUCAUGAGCUGAGGAGGAAUAGAACGAAGAAUGUCGAACAGAUAAUGGUUGUUCCUUACACUGUACAGUAAUUUCAUCAGUAUCAAAUUUAGAUUUUCCUUUCUGAUUCUCAGAAGACUCUGUCAUUUCACUUUUUAGCUCAUUUCCAGAGCACUCAUGAAUCUGAUGUUCUCUGCAGUUUUCUCACUAUUGAUUUCUUUCCAUUUCAGUUACUUCUGAAAUUUUUUUACAAAUUAUUAUCCAUAAGAGGAUUCUUUUAUUCUGUGUCAAGUUUAUACCUUAAAACUCUUGGAUGAGAAGCACGGCUGGAAGAGCUGUAGUUUCUGAAUAACAAAAGGAUAUCUCACAUGCCUUAUUUAGAAUUCCUCAGCCAUUAUGCUCUGUUCUGUGUUCAUAAAUGGUGAUCACCAGAUAUUUGGCAUUAAGAAGAGAGGUAGAAUUCAUCUGAAAAUGUAAAUAUUCCACCUCAAUAAACUGAUCUGAUCAACUUAA